rnacentral:lncRNA from 1 species
GACUCCUGUAGGGAAUGGAGUGUGGGAAAGAAAAGUCUUGCAACGGCCUCUGCGAUCAGUAUGCUUACCCAGUAAUGCUGUCUGCAUGUCAGAGAAAAUAGAAGAAAAACGCCACCUACCCAUGUGCGCUGACAUUUAUCAAAGGGCACAUACAGCCAGCAGGGUGAAACUCCAGGAUUCCGCUACAGGACACGAGAGGCCUAGUGCAGAGUGCAGACAAAACAGGAUAUUACUUUCUGAUUUAGUUACAUGCACAAAUUUCCCAACGGGCUCUCAGGUUGCUUCCCCUAAAUAAUCUGCAUGGCAAAGUGGUCCCAGGCCUACCCUGUGAUCCCUUUGCCUAUUAGCAUGAGUAGGUGUUGCCAAAAAGAAGUAAUUCGAAAAGAAGAGGAUUUAACAAAAAAUACAGAAGAUACGGAAGGAGCAAUGAAGAAGGCACAUAUUUAUGGAAGGUAUUUUGAACGUGGCUUUGAGAGGAAGGGUGUAUGUUUAUAGACACUUAGACUGAAAUCUAAGAAAGAGAAAUAAGUCACUUUGCUUUCAAGUGCAUUGCCAGAGUAUUUGGCAUAUUCCUUAGUACUGUAUUGAAUUUGUACUGAUAUACAGUGUGUCUCCAGCUUAUGAUGUUUCAACGUGUGAAUUUUGACUUUGGGAUUGUACGAAAGUAUUCAGUAGAACCCAUACUUUAAGUUUUGAGUUUUAAUCUUUUCCUGGGAUAGUGAUGUAUGAUACGAUACUCUCUCAUGAAGCCAAGCAGCGGUAGCAAGGCUACAGCUCACAGCCACACGAUCACAAGGAAAAUAACCAGUGGUGUACAGCGCGUGGUAUGCCCAUGUUUUUUGCAUAUAG